rnacentral:rRNA from 1 species
GAUCAACGCUGGCGGCGUGCCUAAUGCAUGCAAGUCGAGCGGGGUGGGCUUCGGUCCACUUACGCGGCGGACGGGUGCGUAACACGUGGGCAAUCUGCCCUGGGGUGGGGAUAGCCGUGGGAAACCGCGGGUAAUUCCGCAUACGGUGUGCUGUCGGCCGGAUGGCGCACGAAAGGGUCUUUCGAGACUCGCCCUGGGAGGAGCCUGCGGCCGAUUAGCUA